rnacentral:rRNA from 1 species
AGAGUUUGAUCCUGGCUCAGGACGAACGCUGGCGGCGUGCCUAAUACAUGCAAGUCGAGCGAACAGAGAAGGAGCUUGCUCCUUCGACGUUAGCGGCGGACGGGUGAGUAACACGUGGGCAACCUACCUUAUAGUUUGGGAUAACUCCGGGAAACCGGGGCUAAUACCGAAUAAUCUGUUUCACCUCAUGGUGAAACACUGAAAGACGGUUUCGGCUGUCGCUAUAGGAUGGGCCCGCGGCGCAUUAGCUAGUUGGUGAGGUAACGGCUCACCAAGGCGACGAUGCGUAGCCGACCUGAGAGGGUGAUCGGCCACACUGGGACUGAGACACGGCCCAGACUCCUACGGGAGGCAGCAGUAGGGAAUCUUCCACAAUGGGCGAAAGCCUGAUGGAGCAACGCCGCGUGAGUGAAGAAGGAUUUCGGUUCGUAAAACUCUGUUGUAAGGGAAGAACAAGUACAGUAGUAACUGGCUGUACCUUGACGGUACCUAACCAGAAAGCCACGGCUAACUACGUGCCAGCAGCCGCGGUAAUACGUAGGUGGCAAGCGUUGUCCGGAAUUAUUGGGCGUAAAGCGCGCGCAGGCGGUCCUUUAAGUCUGAUGUGAAAGCCCACGGCUCAACCGUGGAGGGUCAUUGGAAACUGGAGGACUUGAGUGCAGAAGAGGAGAGUGGAAUUCCACGUGUAGCGGUGAAAUGCGUAGAGAUGUGGAGGAACACCAGUGGCGAAGGCGACUCUCUGGUCUGUAACUGACGCUGAGGCGCGAAAGCGUGGGUAGCGAACAGGAUUAGAUACCCUGGUAGUCCACGCCGUAAACGAUGAGUGCUAAGUGUUAGAGGGUUUCCGCCCUUUAGUGCUGCAGUUAACGCAUUAAGCACUCCGCCUGGGGAGUACGGCCGCAAGGCUGAAACUCAAAGGAAUUGACGGGGGCCCGCACAAGCGGUGGAGCAUGUGGUUUAAUUCGAAGCAACGCGAAGAACCUUACCAGGUCUUGACAUCCCGCUGACCGGUAUAGAGAUAUACCUUUCCCUUCGGGGACAGCGGUGA